AUUGAACGCUGGCGGCAUGCCUUACACAUGCAAGUCGAACGGUAGAGGGGGCAGCCUCUCGAGAGUGGCGAACGGGUGAGUAAAGCAUCGGAACGUGCCCAGUAGUGGGGGAUAGCCCGGCGAAAGCCGGAUUAAUACCGCAUGAGACCUACGGGUGAAAGGGGGGGAUCGCAAGACCUCUCGCUAUUGGAGCGGCCGAUGUCAGAUUAGGUAGUUGGUGGGGUAAAGGCCUACCAAGCCGACGAUCUGUAGCUGGUCUGAGAGGACGACCAGCCACACUGGGACUGAGACACGGCCCAGACUCCUACGGGAGGCAGCAGCGGGGAAUUUUGGACAAUGGGCGAAAGCCUGAUCCAGCCAUGCCGCGUGCGGGAAGAAGGCCUCCGGGUUGUAAACCGCUUUUGUCAGGGAAGAAAUCCUUUGAGUUAAUACCUCGGGGGGAUGACGGUACCUGAAGAAUAAGCACCGGCUAACUACGUGCCAGCCGCCGCGGUAA
rnacentral:rRNA from 1 species